GGGCCCGCACAAGCGGUGGAGCAUGUGGUUUAAUUCGAUGAUACGCGAGGAACCUUACCAGGGCUUAAAUGUAGUCUGACGUACUUGGAAACAGGUAUUUCUUCGGACAGAUUACAAGGUGCUGCAUGGUUGUCGUCAGCUCGUGCCGUGAGGUGUCAGGUUAAGUCCUAUAACGAGCGCAACCCUGUGGUUAGUUGCCAGCGAGUCAAGUCGGGAACUCUAGCCAGACUGCCGGUGCAAACCGUGAGGAAGGUGGGGAUGACGUCAAAUCAUCACGGCCCUUACGUCCUGGGCCACACACGUGCUACAAUGGUAGGGACAGAGAGCAGCCACUUUGCGAGAAGGAGCGAAUCUUCAAACCCUAUCACAGUUCGGAUCGGAGUCUGCAACUCGACUCCAUGAAGUAGGAAUCGCUAGUAAUCG
rnacentral:rRNA from 1 species